rnacentral:rRNA from 1 species
UACGUAGGGUGCAAGCGUUAAUCGGAAUUACUGGGCGUAAAGCGUGCGCAGGCGGCUAUGCAAGACAGAUGUGAAAUCCCCGGGCUCAACCUGGGAACUGCAUUUGUGACUGCAUGGCUAGAGUACGGUAGAGGGGGAUGGAAUUCCUGGUGUAGCAGUGAAAUGCGUAGAUAUCAGGAGGAAUACCGAUGGCGAAGGCAGGUCUCUGGGCUGAUACUGACGCUCAUGCACGAAAGCGUGGGGAGCAAACAGG